rnacentral:misc_RNA from 1 species
AAAUUCUCAAAGAUACAGUCUUGUUCCUACAAUGCUGCAUCUUUUGGAUGUGAGCCCUUUUGUCGUAUGGCAAUGGCUUGAAAAUGAUUGUGUUUGCACCAGCUCUAUGGCUCGGUUCUUAACAAGUGCAACAGAUGUUAACUCAUUCGUUAUCUCUUGGAAGAGGAUCGUUUUCAGGUACUGGUUGAUACACUCAAAACCAAAAACUUUCGCUGAUCCUUGGAUCUUCGACUGAUA